AUUGAACGCUGGCGGCAGGCCUAACACAUGCAAGUCGAGCGAGCGGCGGACGGGUGAGUAAUGUAUGGGGACUGCCCGAUAGAGGGGGAUAACUACUGGAAACGGUGGCUAAUACCGCAUACUCUCGGAUAACCCAUAUGGGAUUAGCUAGUAGGUGGGGUAAAGGCUAACCUAGGCGACGAUCUCUAGCUGGUCUGAGAGUAUGAUGCGCCACACGGGGACUGUGACACGGCCAAGACUCCUACGGAAGAAGCAGGGGGGAAUAUUGCACAAUGGGGUCAAGCGUGAUGCAGCCAGGCCUCGUGGAUGAAGAAGGCCUUAGGGUUGUAAAGUACGUUCAGCGGGGAGGCGUUACCCGCAGAAGAAGCACCGGCUAACUACGUGCCAGCAGCCGCGGUAAUUC
rnacentral:rRNA from 1 species